rnacentral:rRNA from 1 species
UACGGAGGGGGCCAGCGUUGUUCGGAAUCAUUGGGCGUAAAGGGCGCGUAGGCGGCUUUGUAGGUCCGUUGUGAAAUCCCUCGGCUCAACCGAGGAACUGCGACGGAUACUGCUUGGCUUGAGUCCCGGAGAGGGUAGCGGAAUUCCCAGUGUAGCGGUGAAAUGCGUAGAUAUCGGGAGGAACGCCGGUGGCGAAAGCGACUGUCUGGGGUGCCUGUGACGCUGAGGCGCGAAAGCGUGGGGAGCGAACAGG